rnacentral:rRNA from 1 species
GAUGAACGCUGGCGGCGUGCCUAAUACAUGCAAGUCGAGCGAACAGAUGAGAAGCUUGCUUCUCUGAUGUUAGCGGCGGACGGGUGAGUAACACGUGGGUAACCUACCUAUAAGACUGGGAUAACUCCGGGAAACCGGGGCUAAUACCGGAUACUAUUUUGAACCGCAUGGUUCGAUAGUGAAAGACGGUUUCGGCUGUCUCUUAUAGAUGGACCCGCGCCGUAUUAGCUAGUUGGUAAGGUAACGGCUUACCAAGGCGACGAUACGUAGCCGACCUGAGAGGGUGAUCGGCCACACUGGAACUGAGACACGGUCCAGACUCCUACGGGAGGCAGCAGUAGGGAAUCUUCCGCAAUGGGCGAAAGCCUGACGGAGCAACGCCGCGUGAGUGAUGAAGGUCUUCGGAUCGUAAAACUCUGUUGUUAGGGAAGAACAAAUUUGUUAGUAACUGAACAAGUCUUGACGGUACCUAACCAGAAAGCCACGGCUAACUACGUGCCAGCAGCCGCGGUAA